GAUAAGCGCCGGUAAGGUGAUAUGAACCGUUAUAACCGGCGAUACCCGAAUGGGGAAACCCAGUGUGAUUCGUCACACUAUCAUUAACUGAAUCCAUAGGUUAAUGAGGCGAACCGGGGGAACUGAAACAUCUAAGUACCCCGAGGAAAAGAAAUCAACCGAGAUUCCCCCAGUAGCGGCGAGCGAACGGGGAGGAGCCCAGAGCCUGAAUCAGCAUGUGUGUUAGUGGAAGCGUCUGGAAAGUCGCGCGAUACAGGGUGACAGCCCCGUACACAAAAGCGCAUGUGUUGUGAGCUCGAUGAGUAGGGCGGGACACGUGGUAUCCUGUCUGAAUAUGGGGGGACCAUCCUCCAAGGCUAAAUACUCCUGACUGACCGAUAGUGAACCAGUACCGUGAGGGAAAGGCGAAAAGAACCCCGGCGAGGGGAGUGAAAAAGAACCUGAAACCGUGUACGUACAAGCAGUGGGAGCACCCUUCGGGGUGUGACUGCGUACCUUUUGUAUAAUGGGUCAGCGACUUAUAUUCUGUAGCAAGGUUAACCGAAUAGGGGAGCCGGAGGGAAACCGAGUCUUAAUUGGGCGUUAAGUUGCAGGGUAUAGACCCGAAACCCGGUGAUCUAGCCAUGGGCAGGUUGAAGGUUGGGUAACACUAACUGGAGGACCGAACCGACUAAUGUUGAAAAAUUAGCGGAUGACCUGUGGCUGGGGGUGAAAGGCCAAUCAAACCGGGAGAUAGCUGGUUCUCCCCGAAAGCUAUUUAGGUAGCGCCUCGUGAAUUCAUCUCCGGGGGUAGAGCACUGUUUCGGCUAGGGGGCCAUCCCGGCUUACCAACCCGAUGCA
rnacentral:rRNA from 1 species